CUGGUUCAUCUUUGAUCGCAACAGACGCACACUAUCCUACUACGCAGACAAGCACGAAGUCAAGUUGAAAGGAGUCAUUUACUUCCAAGCUAUUGAAGAAGUAUACUACGAUCACUUGAAGAAUGCACACAAGAGCCCAAACCCCUCCCUGACCUUCAGCGUGAAGACU